rnacentral:rRNA from 1 species
GACGAACGCUGGCGGCGUGCUUAACACAUGCAAGUCGAACGGAGUGGCGAACGGGUGAGUAACACGUGGGUGAUCUGCCCUGCACUUCGGGAUAAGCCUGGGAAACUGGGUCUAAUACCGGAUAGUGUAGGAUGAGCUCGCGGCCUAUAAGCCUGUUGGUGGGGUAAUGGCCUAACAAGGAGGCGACGGGUAGCCGGCCUGAGAGGGUGGACGGCAACAGUGGGACUGAGAGACGGCCCAGACUGCAACGGGAGGCAGCAGUGGGGAAUAUUGCAGAAUGGGCGCAAGUCUGAUGCAGCGACGCCGGGUGGGUGAGGUCGGCCUUCGGGUUGUAAACUCCUUUCGCUAGGGACGCGGUACCUAGAUAAGAAGCACCGGCUAACUACGUGCCAGCAGCCGCGGUAAUAC